ACGAACGCUGGCGGCGUGCUUCACACAUGCAAGUCGAACGGAAAGGCCCUGCUUUUGUGGGGUGCUCGAGUGGCGAACGGGUGAGUAACACGUGAGUAACCUGCCCUUGACUUUGGGAUAACUUCAGGAAACUGGGGCUAAUACCGGAUAGGAGCUCCUGCUGCAUGGUGGGGGUUGGAAAGUUUCGGCGGUUGGGGAUGGACUCGCGGCUUAUCAGCUUGUUGGUGGGGUAGUGGCUUACCAAGGCUUUGACGGGUAGCCGGCCUGAGAGGGUGACCGGCCACAUUGGGACUGAGAUACGGCCCAGACUCCUACGGGAGGCAGCAGUGGGGAAUAUUGCACAAUGGGCGGAAGCCUGAUGCAGCAACGCCGCGUGCGGGAUGACGGCCUUCGGGUUGUAAACCGCUUUCGCCUGCGACGAAGCGUGAGUGACGGUAAUGGGUAAAGAAGCACCGGCUAACUACGUG
rnacentral:rRNA from 1 species